rnacentral:rRNA from 1 species
UACGUAGGGUGCGAGCGUUGUCCGGAAUCACUGGGCGUAAAGCGCACGUAGGCGGAUUGCUAAGUCAGGGGUGAAAUCCUGGAGCUCAACUCCAGAACUGCCUUUGAUACUGGCGAUCUCGAGUCCGGGAGAGGUGAGUGGAACUGCGAGUGUAGAGGUGAAAUUCGUAGAUAUUCGCAAGAACACCAGUGGCGAAGGCGGCUCACUGGCCCGGUACUGACGCUGAGGUGCGAAAGCGUGGGGAGCAAACAGG